GACGAACGCUGGCGGCGUGCUUAACACAUGCAAGUCGAACGGAAAGGCCUGCUUUCCCUUGUGGUUUGCGGGUACUCGAGUGGCGAACGGGUGAGUAACACGUGAGUGAUCUGCCCCCAACUUGGGUAUAAGCCUGGGAAACUGGGUCUAAUUCCCGAUAGGACUGCAGGGUGGUGCCUGUGGUGGAAAACGAUUUUCUAGUGGUUGGGGAUGAGCUCCCGGCCUAUCAGCUUGGUGGGGGGGUAAUGGCCUACCAAGGCGGCGACGGGUAGCCGGCCUGGGAGGGUGGACGGCCACAUUGGGACUGGGAUACGGCCCAGACGCCUACGGGAGGCAGCAGUGGGGAAUAUUGGACAAAGGGCGGAAGCCUGAUGCAGCGACGCAGCGUGGGGGAUGACGGGCUUCGGGUUGUAAGCUCCUUUCGACCGCGAGGAAGCCACCUGGUUGGAAGGGUGGUGACGGUAGUGGUAGAAGAAGCACCGGCUAACUACGUG
rnacentral:rRNA from 1 species